GUUCUUGCUUUGGCAGUGCAUUGACUAAAACUGGAAUGAUACAGAGAAGAUUAGCAUGGCCCCUGUGGAAGGAUGACAUGCAAAUUUGUGGAGUAUUUCACAUUUUU